AGUGCGACUUGAUUGCGUGGCGAUGGGCGGAUGUGAGAGAGGAAUGCCUGAGAUUCUGUGAGGUGAUGGAGGCUAGGCCGUCAACUGUUGUUGUGUAAAUUGCUCGUUUAAAGGUAUUAGAUUUCAUGACGCAUUGGUUACGACUGUAAUGUUAUGUAAAUAUGUUUGAAAUAAAUAAAUAAAU